AUUGAACGCUGGCGGCAGGCCUAACACAUGCAAGUCGAGCGGAGCGGCGGACGGGUGCGGAAGGCCUAGGAAUCUGCCUGGUAGUGGGGGAUAACGUCCGGAAACGGGCGCUAAUACCGCAUACUAGCAGAUGAGCCUAGGUCGGUUUAGCGAGUUGGUGGGUUAAAGGCCUACCAAGGCGACGAUCCGUAACUGGCCUGAGAGGAUGAUCGGUCACACUGGAACUGAGACAGGGUCCAGACUCUUAGGGAAGGAAGAGGUGGGGAAUAUUGGACAAUGGGCGAAAGCCUACUCCAGCCAUGCCGCGUGUGGGAAGAAGGUCUUCGGAUUGUAAAGCACUUUAAGUUGGGAGGCGGUACCAACAGAAUAAGCACCGGCUAACUACGUGCCAGCAGCCGCGGUAAUAC
rnacentral:rRNA from 1 species